GACGAACGCUGGCGGCGUGCUUAACACAUGCAAGUCGAACGGAAAGGCCCUGCUUUUGUGGGGUGCUCGAGUGGCGAACGGGUGAGUAACACGUGAGUAACCUGCCCUUGACUUUGGGAUAACUUCAGGAAACUGGGGCUAAUACCGGAUAGGAGCUCCUGCUGCAUGGUGGGGGUUGGAAAGUUUCGGCGGUUGGGGAUGGACUCGCGGCUUAUCAGCUUGUUGGUGGGGUAGUGGCUUACCAAGGCUUUGACGGGUAGCCGGCCUGAGAGGGUGACCGGCCAAAUGGGGACUGAGAUACGGCCCAGACCACUAGGGGAGGGAGGAGGGGGGAAUAUUGCACAAGGGGGGGAAGCCUGAGGCAGCAACGCCGGGGGCGGGAUGAGGGCCUUCGGGUUGAAAACCGCUUUCGCCUGGGACGAAGGGUGGGUGACGGUAAUGGGUAAAGAAGCACCGGCUAACUACGU
rnacentral:rRNA from 1 species